UACGGAGGGUGCGAGCGUUGUCCGGAAUCAUUGGGCGUAAAGGGCGCGUAGGUGGCUUCUUAAGCGUGCGGUGAAAGCCUGGGGCUCAACCCCGGGUCGGCCGUGCGAACUGGGGGGCUGGAGCACUGUAGAGGCAGGCGGAAUUCCGGGUGUAGGUGGAAUGCGUAGAGAUCCGGAAGAACACCGGUGGCGAAGGCGGCCUGCUGGGCAAUUGCUGACACUGAGGCGCGACAGCGUGGGGAGCAAACAGG
rnacentral:rRNA from 1 species